GGCAGCAGUAAGGAAUAUUGGUCAAUGGACGCAAGUCUGAACCAGCCAUGCCGCGUGCAGGAUGAAUGCCCUAUGGGUUGUAAACUGCUUUUGUUUGGGAAGAAAUUCUCGUACGUGUACGGGAUUGACUGUACCUUAUGAAUAAGCAUCGGCUAACUCCGUGCCAGCAGCCGCGGUAAUACGGAGGAUGCAAGCGUUAUCUGGAUUCAUUGGGUUUAAAGGGUGUGUAGGCGGAAUGGUAAGUCAGUGGUGAAAUCCCCCGGCUCAACCGGGGAACUGCCAUUGAUACUGCUAUUCUUGAGUACACAUGAGGUGGGCGGAAUGUAUCAUGUAGCGGUGAAAUGCAUAGAUAUGAUACAGAACACCGAUAGCGUAGGCAGCUCACCAAAGUGUAACUGACGCUGAGGCACGAAAGCGUGGGGAGCAAACAGGAUUAGAUACCCUGGUAGUCCACGCUGUAAACUAUGAUCACUCGCUGUUAGCAAUACAUCGUUAGCGGCUAAGCAAAAGCAUAAGUAUCCACCUGAUCGCAUGCGGG
rnacentral:rRNA from 1 species